GACGUAGGGGGCAAGCGUUAUUCGGAAUCAUUGGGCGUAAAGCGCUCGUAGGCGGGAAGGCAAGUCCGUGUUGAAAGACCUCGGCUCAACUGAGGGACCGGCUCGGAUACUGUUUUUCUUGAGGCAUUCAGAGGGUGAUGGAAUUCCCGGUGUAGCGGUGAAAUGCGCAGAUAUCGGGAGGAACACCGGUGGCGAAGGCGGUUCUCUGGGCCUGUACUGACGCUGAGGAGCGAAAGCGUGGGGAGCGAACAGG
rnacentral:rRNA from 1 species